rnacentral:lncRNA from 1 species
GUCCAAGCGGCCCCAGGCCAGGCCAGACGUUGAGGAAACCUGACCUUAGAGGAAAUGGAAAAGUUGGAGAGACACUGAGCACUGAUACGAAAUAAUUCUCUUGCUGAAAUACACGAAAGGAGUCCCAGCAGCCAUAUUAGUAUUUCCACGUCCUGUGUCAGCCCCAAAUAGAGAGAACUUGGAAUGGGAGGGGAAAUGGCAGCCAUCAGGAAAUGAAAUGCUGGCCCAGAGGAUUCUAAGCAAGUCAAUCACCAGUCCAAG